rnacentral:misc_RNA from 1 species
UUUCCGUAGGUGAACCUGCGGAAGGAUCAUUAUUGUAUAACCGAGGUGCGAGGGCUGUCGCUGACCCGAAAGGUCGUGCACGCCCGAGUGCCCUCACACACAUCCAUCUCACCCCUAUGUGCACCACCGCGUGGGUCCCCCUUUGGCUUGUUCGGAGGGGGGCUUACGUUUUCACACAAACUUUGUAUGCAGUGUAGAAUGUAUUUUUUGUUUUUGCGAUCACGCAAUCAAUACAACUUUCAACAACGGAUCUCUUGGCUCUCGCAUCGAUAAAGACGCAGC